CAUGAAUACAUCAAUACAAAACAAAAAAAAAAAAAAACAAAAUGUUUAAAAUUGUGAAAGGAUGUAAGACAUAACAGUUACUAUUAAGAAAAAUUUAUAAACUGUUAUAAUAUAAUAAAGGAAAGUGUACUGUUUUCUUUCUUUUUGCUUCUGGAAAUUCAAAGGAAGAGAAUUAAACAAAAAAAAAAAGAAAAAAAGGACAAGCACUUUCUAUGGUUGUUUUACUCUAACGUAUUGAUAUAAGUUACUGUUAUAAUAAAGUAGUAAAAUCCAACCGAAGGCCAAGAAAUAAAAAUAUAAUCGAUAGCAUUAUAUAUUGUAUAAUCAGCGAGUAUUUUCUCUCGUUUUCUCUCUUCUUGUCCAUCUCUGCGUGCCCUUUCUUCCUACACUAAAUUCUAACGGUUAAAGUUUCGACGAGUUUUUAGUCGUUAAAUGUAAAUGAUGAAUUGUAACAGUAAUUGUGUAAUUUUUUAUUCGUUAGCAUAAAAAUAUCUAUUCGUAACUUGAACGCUCUAUUGAAUUGAACGUAAAACGGCAACUCUCUUACUUUGCUCCGAUUAUAAAGACAACAUCUCUUAUGUAUAUGUAUAUAUAUAUUUAUAUAUAUAUAUAUAUAUAUAUCUUUACAUAUAUAUAUAUGUCUGAAUUGCAUUGAGCGUUUAAAGCAUAAACGCAUCAUCAUGUAAUGUGUUAUAAUAAUUUAAAGCAAAACAUCGCAUUCGCAUUAAUCUAAUCUAACGAUUGUAAAACAUUAUUAAGUGAGAAAGAAUCAGAAGGAAAUAUAUGUAAAAUUGGGUAUUUUGAAACUGUAAGAAAAAAGUUAAGGUUAAAGAAAACCAAAAAAAAAAAAUAAAAAAAAAAAAAAAGAAAUCAAUUAGAAUCAAUUAAUGAUGAGAGAAAAUGAAUCGGUGGUGUAAAAAUCUUGAACUCCUCUUAAUCGAGAAAUGGAAAUGAUUUUCACGCUCAUGUUAUUAAAAAGAAAAAAUAGAAUGACAACAAGAACAACAAUAAAUCAUUUUUGAAAUCUUUAUGAGAAUUCCAGAGUAUACCGAAAAGUUUGUAAUUUAAUAUGUGUUUAGCUACUUUAGUAUGAGGAGGGGGAAAAUAUUUAAAAUGAAAUCGCAUACGCAAUUAUUGUAACAGUUUCGCAAUUGUGUGCAUAUCAGACACAUUAAUAAGAAAACACACAUAUUUAUAUAUAUGGAUAUAUAUAUAUGUAAUUUUACAUGUGGUAAAUGUUGCGAAUUUCUAUGAAAAAGUCAGAAGACUCGCUGUUGGUACAAUGUUACGACCGACUUCGUGUGGCCCUGGGCCACCAUCACAAGAUACUGUACACGAAUUUAGCAUAAAUUUUAAAAACAAUAAAA